rnacentral:rRNA from 1 species
GUGCCAGCAGCCGCGGUAAGACGAACCGUGCGAACGUUGUUCGGAUUCACUGGGCUUAAAGGGCGCGUAGGCGGGCUGUCAAGUCGGUGGUGAAAUCUUUCGGCUCAACCGGAAGACGGCCUCCGAUACUGGCAGUCUCGAGGGGGGUAGGGGCAUGCGGAACUUCGGGUGGAGCGGUGAAAUGCGUAGAUAUCCGAAGGAACGCCGGUGGCGAAAGCGGCGUGCUGGACCCUUUCUGACGCUGAGGCGCGAAAGCCAGGGGAGCAAACGGGAUUAGAUACCCCGGUAGUCC